UAGUGGCGAACGGGUGAGUAACACGUGGGCAAUCUGCCCUUCACUNUGGGACAAGCCCUGGAAACGGGGUCUAAUACCGGAUAACACUUCCUGCCGCAUGGUGGGGGGUUAAAAGCUCCGGCGGUGAAGGAUGAGCCCGCGGCCUAUCAGCUUGUUGGUGGGGUGAUGGCCUACCAAGGCGACGACGGGUAGCCGGCCUGAGAGGGCGACCGGCCACACUGGGACUGAGACACGGCCCAGACUCCUACGGGAGGCAGCAGUGGGGAAUAUUGCACAAUGGGCGAAAGCCUGAUGCAGCGACGCCGCGUGAGGGAUGACGGCCUUCGGGUUGUAAACCUCUUUCAGCAGGGAAGAAGCGAAAGUGACGGUACCUGCAGAAGAAGCGCCGGCUAACUACGUGCCAGCAGCCGCGGUAAUACGUAGGGCGCAAGCGUUGUCCGGAAUUAUUGGGCGUAAAGAGCUCGUAGGCGGCUUGUCACGUCGGNAUGUGAAAGCCCGGGGCUUAACCCCGGGUCUGCAUUCGAUACGGGCUAGCUAGAGUGUGGUAGGGGAGAUCGGANUUCCU
rnacentral:rRNA from 1 species